CAGCGGUGACCCCCCGAUUUUGGGGGUGCCCCCCAGCCCGGCAGCACCCGCGCUCGGGCAGCGCCGGCGCUAUUUCUGCCUCUUUUUGUGAGCACCCGCCGUUUCCAUGGCAACCGCGAGCAUCGCGUGGUACCCCCGGCUCCGCCGCACCCUGCGCUCGGCCCCGCGACGCCCCGACGGCCGGCGGGGUCCCUGCGGGCCCCGGGGGCUGCGGCAGCCGCUGCUCGGGGCGGGGGGCACCGGGAGCUGCCACCGGCGCGUCCCCGGGUGCUGGGGCGGGAGGGGAAGGAGCAGCUCCGGGGCUUCGGGCCGGGCUGUGCCCGACCGGGCGUCCUCCCCAGGCAGGGGCCUGGCCAGGGCUCAGUCGAGGGGAAUCUGUUCCUGCGGGAGGUGCCCACAGCAGUCAGGUCCCGGGCCAAGGUCCCUCCUUUCCUCUCCAUCCCAGUGCGAGUCCCUCCCCUCUGCGUCUGACUCCAGCAGCCCCUCCAUCUCUGUGCAGCCUGCACAGGUCUGCUUUUAACCCGUCUGUCAGGGGGUUUCUGGGCUGUCCCUGCUGCUGAGGGUCGAGCUGUGCUGGGGUGAGGGACAGAGCCCCAUCCUUGAAGCGUGCAGGGUGCAGAAGCGAUGCCCUGAGGCACGAAAUUUGAUUUCGGCUCCUACAAACCCUAUUAAGCAGUCUUAAUAUAUCAGCCUCCUUUUUAAAAUGUAUUUUCAUUCAAGUCAGCACGUGUUUGCAAUUAAACCCUGCCACGAGAUGUGGUGUGAAUGAUUAGAGCAGUUCAUGUGCAUAACGGGAUACUCACAUUUGUGGGGGGGAUGUGCCACUCCCAGAACUGCAGCGUGGCUCCCACUAAACUUGGCAGUGUCCUUCCCUCAUCCCUCCUGAGGCAGUUCGGGGCACAGAGGGCUUGUCUGUGCUGCACACCCGGAUCUGGCCUUUGCUCUCUGAAUCUCUGUGCCUGCAAUUCCCUUCACUUGCCUUUUGUUCCCACUUCAGACAGGCAGCAGGUCAAAAAGUCACCGCCGGGGUUUUGCUGCCACGUGCAAGCUCGAGCCCCAUCCUGUGCUGCCCUGCCAGGUGGGUGCUGUGCUGCCCUGCCAGGUGGGUGCUGUGCUGCCUGGUGUGCUGCAGGUGGGGGCUGCACGGGCUCACCUGGAGCCUUGGCCCUGCUGCUCUUCUGCCUGGAGGGCAUCACCUGUCCCUCCUGGCUCUCCUCUGCCAGAGUGCACUGCUGUUCCUGAUGUGUUCAUCAGGCUCUUUUCUUGCUUGGUUCUAUUUUUAAACGGUACCUUGAUGAUCAGGUGAGGAGAUGGGAACAUCUGGCAGCUUUCCCUCUGACCCAGAGUCAGUGAGUCUUGGGAAUUCAGUGAGACAUCCCUGGCAAUUCCUCCCCACAGCGUGGGAGCAGAGAGGCUCUUCUUAAAAUCCCCAUCCAUUGAGAGGGCACGGUUGCUGUCUGACUGUCCCUUUCUUAGUCCUGGCAAACACAGAAUCCCAGAAUGGCUUGGGUUAGAAGAGACCUUAAAGUUCAUCUCGUGCCAGCUCCCUGCCAUGGGCAUGGACACCUUCCAGUAGCCCAGGUUGCUCAGAGCCCCAUCCAGCCUGACCUUGGAUACUUCCAUCAAGAAGUUGAUCCCAGGAAAGGAGCACCUUGCCUGCUUACACUGGGGGAAGUUGUGUGAAGUUUGGCUUUUGGGUUGCUCAGCUUGAGCCUCAUGUGCACCGAGGCACCGUCUGCCCCAUGUUGCUCUCUCUGUGCUGACACAUGCAGCAGCCACGUGCAGGAUCUCUCCUGCUCCCCAGCUCAUGCCACACACAAUCUUGUUCUGAUUUUCAGGGCUCCAAUAAAGCGUGUCAAAAUGCAUCAAAGGCUGAGCGCAGAAGUGAAGCAAAUUGACUCUGUGGAGGAUUUAGGGAAUGGAGGGAGUAGGGAUAGACCCCAAACCAAACAAGAACUGCAGAGAAGGUGAAGCAUGGCAGAGGUGGCAGAUGUGCAGCACAGCUGGAGGGACAUGGAGCAUCUCUGAUUUGGCAGGAGAAGGGGAAAACCUGUAAGUAGCACAGGAGAUGUGGCUGGGAGGGAUGUGCCCCCAUCACCUCUGGGAUGCAGGAUUGUCUGGGCUUUGUGACAUCACUCUGUCGAGGGUCCUUCCCCAUCUCUACAGGGCAGGCAAGGAAACUCCUGUGCUGGUACAGGCAGAGGCUGCACUUCCCGUGGCUCUGAAUUCAGGCUCUUGCAUCAGCUCAGGACGGGCUGCAGAGGGUCCCACCAUCACCAUGGGAUGGGGUGUCCUGUUCUAGCCAGCAGUGCAGAGCUGCCCUGGGCUGUCCCAUCCCGGCCCUUUUCCUGGUGCUGGGAGGCUGCCGUGGCCUCCAGCACCCCGAGGGCUCUGUCCUGAGGUGAUAAAAGCAGGAGGAGAAUUGUGCUCAAGGAACAGGCUCAACCACCUUCGUUGUGCUGACAGUGCCAGGAAAUCAGGCACUUCAAAAGGCAGUUUUGCAUUUCUUCAGAUGCCUCGGUGUAAGCGCAGUGACAGAGUUGCUGAAAGCACAUUAAUUAUUAGUAAAGACUUUUUUUUCUUUUUAUUGCAAGACAAAUUAAACAACAGAAGAAAACAGGAGGUGUUACACGAGAUGUUAAUCCACGGGAGAGUGACAGCAGCAAAAGCCACAAAUAAUUCAUAACAUGAAAGUCGGGACAUUUAA